GUGGACCACAUUCUUCAUUGUGAUGUGGCUUAUGCCAUUUCAAUUGCCUUUUUCAGUCAUUUUGGGUUGUCCUAGGUCAUGUCUAGACGAGUAGUCGAUUUGUAUGCCUGUUGGUGGACCUCUGGCUUUUCGCGGAGUGCUGCAGUGUCGAAGAUGAUGCCUAUGUGCUUUUUUUGAUGUUUAUGGAAGGAAAUGAGUAAUAGAAGUUUUGAGGAUUGGGAUGAUAUUUUAUCUUUAUUCUUCAAAACUUUGUAUCUGUGGACAGUUGUUUAUAUGUCUCCUCUGAGGAUUAGUUAUAGUGAUUUCCUUGUUCUUUUUGCUACUCCUAAUUAUGUGUUUUCCUUUUGUAUACUUUCUGUGUACUUUGAGUCGCUUUACGCUUUUAAUGAUAUUUAUUGAUUGCUUAUAAAAAAAAAUUGUAACGAACGUUUCACUCUUGGCCAAAAGUGUGAGGCUCCAUAGUUGUUCCUCAUUGAGAAUACGCGGUUUGUGGAAAGUGAGAUAGCCUCUGAAUACCUUGGUUCGGUGGAUUGGCUCUCCAAUCAUUUUCCAAAUCUAAACCUUGAAGACAAAAUUCAUCUUGAGAGGAGGCGAGUGUUAGGCUCUAGCUAAUAGCUGGGAUAUGCAGCAUGGAAAUGCAGUGGACAAGUGGGGCUUGAUUGUGGGUGUCGGUGUGUGCUCUGUAUUGAGUGGCAGAUUGUUCAUUACAUCAGACUUAUGUGGGUGGCAUGGAAGUGGUUGUGUCUAAUGGAGGAGGUAAUUCCAGUUAAAUGGAAAGUGCAUUUAGAGCUUGUUACAGGGUAGAAGUAAUGGGGUAGUUUAUGGUGCCAUGUAUUUCAUGGGUAGUAUGUUGUGUCUUCUGUGUCCUGUGCAUGAGUGAUGCAUGUAUCGUGUAAUGGGUGGAUACGUGGUAGUGGGGAGAGGGAACCUGUAUACAGGGAAGGGAAAAAAUCAGAUUGAAUGUAGUAUUUCCAGCCCUAAAAGGAAUUUGUUUAGUGAAAUUCUCUUCUGUUUCUUGAAUUUUCUUUUCUGGUUCAUUAUGUGAAACUUCCAUAUCUUCUAUUCUUUUGCACACAGAUGUUAUUUUCACUUUGUGGAAGCUACUCAAAAUAAAAUAGAGAGUGCUCUCAAAGGUAGGGCGGUCCCUGUUAUUUUGUUAGUCCUUUCUUUUUUGGUAUGUUCCAUAAUAAAUGUCCACAUUCCAAAAUUAACACAAUUAUGACUCACUUUUUAAAAUUAGUACAAAAUAAAGUACCAAGUAGAAGGGUAGUUUUGGAAAGUGAUCUUUUGUUUAUGAGUCAAAGCAAUAAUUGAUGUUGCCUUAAAUAUUAGAAUUACGGAGACCAACAAAAUGGGACAGAGGGAAUAAAUGAAAAUAUGAGUGACAUUUUAUGUUUUUGUUUAGCUUUGCCAUCUGGGCCUGAUGUGGUUAUCUUGGUUGAGAGUGUUGUCCUCAAGUAUGUGUUAAUAUAGGUCUGUAUGUAUGUGUGUGUGUGUAUAUAUGUGUCUAAAACAUGUUGAAACUUUUAUAUCAUACUAAGUAGGGUAUUUCAAUAUUGUCCUUUACACCUGUGAUUUUUUGGAUUACAUUAAGUCCUGAUGUUCUUCCCUUUGAUUAGCAUGGCAAAAUCAUAUCAAGGGAGGAGCUUGAAAAGACUCUGGCAAACGAGAAGACUGAAGAAUUAGAGAUGACAGAUAUGGAUGAGGCCAUGGCACGAGCUGUUGACAUUGGUGAAGAUGAUGAUGAAGGAGAGGAUAGUGAUGUUGAGGUUGAGGAAGAAGCAGGGGAGAAAAUUACACGCAAUUGGAGUGUUUUGAAAAGUACUCCUGAGCUACAAAAAUCCAAGG